AUGCUGCACAACACCAAGAACAGCACGUCGACGACAGCGCGCCGUCUCAGAAUCUGUGAGCUGGACUACACGGCCACCGCGGGCGUCCUGAACUUCUGCGACGCCUUGAUGAGGGACUACGAGGGUGACAAGAGAAGCGAGGCCGAAGACAACGACGGGCCCCUAAACUUCGAGCUGCCUGAAUGUGUGGACGAGGCGAACGAGGUCUGGGGCUACUGCGGGCUUGCUCUUCUUCAUAUGCCGGGGGCGGAGGCGCUUGUCAAGGAAGGCGAUGACCUACAGAUGCUGAUGGAUCUCAGCAUUGCCUUGCUAUCACCAUACAGAUUGGACUGA
rnacentral:rRNA from 1 species